UAGGGAAUCUUCGGCAAUGGACGAAAGUCUGACCGAGCAACGCCGCGUGAGUGAAGAAGGUUUUCGGAUCGUAAAACUCUGUUGUUAGAGAAGAACAAGGACGUUAGUAACUGAACGUCCCCUGACGGUAUCUAACCAGAAAGCCACGGCUAACUACGUGCCAGCAGCCGCGGUAAUACGUAGGUGGCAAGCGUUGUCCGGAUUUAUUGGGCGUAAAGCGAGCGCAGGCGGUUUCUUAAGUCUGAUGUGAAAGCCCCCGGCUCAACCGGGGAGGGUCAUUGGAAACUGGGAGACUUGAGUGCAGAAGAGGAGAGUGGAAUUCCAUGUGUAGCGGUGAAAUGCGUAGAUAUAUGGAGGAACACCAGUGGCGAAGGCGGCUCUCUGGUCUGUAACUGACGCUGAGGCUCGAAAGCGUGGGUAGCAAACAGG
rnacentral:rRNA from 2 species